rnacentral:rRNA from 1 species
GAGCGAACGGACGAGAAGCUUGCUUCUCUGAUGUUAGCGGCGGACGGGUGAGUAACACGUGGAUAACCUACCUAUAAGACUGGGAUAACUUCGGGAAACCGGAGCUAAUACCGGAUAAUAUUUUGAACCGCAUGGUUCAAAAGUAAAAGACGGUCUUGCUGUCACUUAUAGAUGGAUCCGCGCUGCAUUAGCUAGUUGGUAAGGUAACGGCUUACCAAGGCAACGAUGCAUAGCCGACCUGAGAGGGUGAUCGGCCACACUGGAACUGAGACACGGUCCAGACUCCUAC